ACUCCUACGGGAGGCAGCAGUAGGGAAUCUUCCACAAUGGGCGAAAGCCUGAUGGAGCAACGCCGCGUGUGUGAUGAAGGCUUUCGGGUCGUAAAGCACUGUUGUAUGGGAAGAACAGCUAGAAUAGGAAAUGAUUUUAGUUUGACGGUACCAUACCAGAAAGGGACGGCUAA
rnacentral:rRNA from 1 species